GGUGGUGGGUACUUUGUAUCCAGCACCUCCACCCCUUGGUGCUCCUCUGGACUAGUACUGGUUUGUGCCAGCAUCCCUGGUCAUGGAUGUCUUUGUGUGUAUUGUUUAUUUGUAAGCCUGCUAAAAGUGCGGAGACAUGGGGCUGGGUCACUACCACACUGGUAUUGAAGAAGAAGAUCAUGGCUCAGCAACCUGGACAGCUUUACCCAGGGGAGAUGAAUAUACAAAUAAGUAACACAGAACAUUCCAUGUUCAUCAUAUCAGCAAUCAGUCAUGGCUGCACUACUCAAAAUUAGUGAGCUGAAAACCGGGUUAUAGCUGAUCUUCUCGAUCUGCCCUAGCCACAACCUUGAUCCAAUCAACAGCAUCAACCAGCUCAAAACGAAAAACACCCCCAAUGUGAUAUGGCUAUGUCCACUUGUCUCAAUUCCAAGAAGGUGAUAGCAAGAUGAUAAUUUGGACUUGAUUUGCAAGGUCUGGCAGAGAGCACUCCAGAAGCUGGAUGUAAGCUGAGUGUCCCAAUCAGAGACUAUAGAA